CCUGUGUUGCUUACCUAUCGAAAGGAAUCCAUCGGUCCCGUUCGUCCCUCUCUAGCCCUCCCGGGUUGCGGGGUGGACAUCAAGCACGCCCCGUGUUCCCGGCAGACCUUGCCCAGUGGCUUGGCUGCCUCGGCCCACGGUGUGCUCUGCCCGUUCUCACGGACGCUGAACGUUACGCACGGGCGUGGGGUCUGUAACAGACUCCGUUCGCCUAAGCAAAGCAUCUGUCCCUCGACGCGAACGACUGCCGUGCCCGUCUUGAGCCCACGGCCUCACGGCCCGUCAGGCGUCAUACGGGCGCCGGCGUCGCGAAGGAACGCUACCUGGUUGAUCCUGCCAGUAGUCAUAUGCUU
rnacentral:misc_RNA from 1 species